CCCCACAUUCUCCGUUCUCUAGGCCAAGAGUUUGUGGAGCUAUUGAAAUGGGAGUAAGGGAGGAGCAAGGCCAAAGGAGAGGAGGAAGAGUACGCAAACUGGCCUGUCCAUAAUAUAGUUUAACUGGACACUGGUCAGAUGGAGUUCUGAGAAGCACCAAUGAAGACAUCAGUCUGUGAAGACCCUCGUCCACGUCCAAUCCUUGCUAGAUGGUCUUAUCAGUGGUCCCCCUGAUGUCUCAUCCCUCUGAGGAAAGCAUCUGGACCUGGCCUGGCCGAGGGGCACUGCAUGAGGAGCUUUUUCAGGUCACAGGCUGUCUGGGCUUUCUCCGCCUGAGUGGAUGUGUUUGCAAAGUGGAUGAGUGACCUUUCAUUCCUGGACACCCAGAGGGCCAAUCAGUCUGUUCUUGCUCCACUGAGAAAACUGAAUAAAGUGCUUGCCACUUGAAAUGAGAGUAAGGCAUAAAUAACUAUAAAAAUAAACAAGCCCCAAC
rnacentral:lncRNA from 1 species